rnacentral:rRNA from 1 species
ACUCCUGCGGGAGGCAGCAGUGGGGAAUUUUGGACAAUGGGCGAAAGCCUGAUCCAGCAAUGCCGCGUGAGUGAAGAAGGCCUUCGGGUUGUAAAGCUCUUUUGUCAGGGAAGAAACGGUGAGAGCUAAUAUCUCUUGCUAAUGACGGUACCUGAAGAAUAAGCACCGGCUAACUACGUGCCAGCAGCCGCGGUAAUACGUAUGGUGCAAGCGUUAAUCGGAAUUACUGGGCGUAAAGCGUGCGCAGGCGGUUUUGUAAGUCUGAUGUGAAAUCCCCGGGCUCAACCUGGGAAUUGCAUUGGAGACUGCAAGGCUAGAAUCUGGCAGAGGGGGGUAGAAUUCCACGUGUAGCAGUGAAAUGCGUAGAUAUGUGGAGGAACACCGAUGGCGAAGGCAGCCCCCUGGGUCAAGAUUGACGCUCAUGCACGAAAGCGUGGGGGGCAAACAGGAUUAGAUACCCGAGUAGUCCCAUGA